rnacentral:rRNA from 1 species
GACGUAGGGCGCGAGCGUUGUCCGGAUUUAUUGGGCGUAAAGAGCGUGUAGGCGGCCAGGUAGGUCUGCUGUGAAAUCCCCGGGCUCAACCUGGGAAUGGCAGUGGAUACUGGCAAGCUAGAGUGCGGUAGAGGGAUGUGGAAUUCCCGGUGUAGCGGUGAAAUGCGCAGAUAUCAGGAGGAACACCCGUAGCGAAGGCGGCACUCUGGGCCGAUACUGACACUGAGGAGCGAAAGCGUGGGGAGCGAACAGG